rnacentral:lncRNA from 1 species
AAAGCAUUAUCUUAAUUUGUACCAAGCAAUGAUGUAUCGUACUGACUGAAGACAUGUCAUGAUUUAGAAAAUAUGUGCUUCCCGCUGGCGCUCAGCCUCCUGCAGCACAACCUGCACAGUCCCAGCAGGCGGACAGCCAAGGCUUUUCAAAACACCAGUCACGUUCCAUAGCUCUGUGUGUGCUCUUACAAAUCCUGCCAGUCACUCCUGUCUCCCCAGAUUCUACGAGCAGGACCCAGCUGGCUAACUGCUGCGGGAGGUAUUUGAAGAUGCCGACAGGAGCCCAGGAAGCCAGAGUUCUUUGCUUGCUGUGAUAAGUUGUUUGCUUCCCAGGAAUAGCCAGAGCCAGUGCAUGCCACUGUCCUUCUCGUGCUGUUCAGGUCCUCUGCAGACUGAUGCUUGCAGGCAUGUAGGAUGGGAACACUUACUUGCUGCAAGCUGGGCUCCUUAGUUGCAUUUUUGCCCCAUUUGAGCUGCUAAGAUUGUGACAAACCUUCCUGUGGUCUUCUAAAACCAUGCCAGGGAAUGCCAUGCAACUCUGGUUUGUUGAUCUGUCAGUGACAGAAAUGACUGCUCCAUUUCAGAGGGAAUGGAUUAUCUCUAGUAGGAUCUCUAGCAGGAUUAGCUUAGGAGGGGAGUAUGUGGUGUCUGGUUGUAUUUGGGGGGAUUUAUGUAAGUUUACUGCUUCACAGCCUUCAGCUGAGAGGGACAUAAUCAGUCAAUGUGAAAUGCCAGAAGA